rnacentral:tRNA from 1 species
AGAGAGUUGGAUGAGUUGGUUUAAGUCACCUCCCUGCUAAGGAGGCAGUCCUUCGGGGCUCAUGGGUUCGAAUCCCAUACUCUCUG